rnacentral:rRNA from 1 species
UGGGGAAUUUUGGACAAUGGGCGCAAGCCUGAUCCAGCCAUGCCGCGUGCGGGAAGAAGGCCUUCGGGUUGUAAACCGCUUUUGUCAGGGAAGAAAUCUUCUGAGUUAAUACCUCGGGAGGAUGACGGUACCUGAAGAAUAAGCACCGGCUAACUACGUGCCAGCAGCCGCGGUAAUACGUAGGGUGCAAGCGUUAAUCGGAAUUACCGGGCGUAAAGCGUGCGCAGGCGGUUUUGUAAGACAGAGGUGAAAUCCCCGGGCUCAACCUGGGAACUGCCUUGUGACUGCAAGGCUUGAGUGCGGCAGAGGGGGGAUGGAAUUCCGCGUGUAGCAGUGAAAUGCGUAGAUAUGCGGAGGAACACCGAUGGCGAAGGCAAUCCCCUGGGCCUGCACUGGCGCUCAUGCACGAAAGCGUGGGGAGCAAACAGGAUUAGAUACCCUGGUAGUCCACGCCCUAAACGAUGUCAAACUGGUUGUUGGGAAGGUUCCUUCUCAGUAACGUAGCUAACGCGUGAAGUUGACCGCCU